AUGCUUCCAAGAAAAGCCCUAUACCCGUUAAGGCAUGAUGGCCUGUACCCGAAACCGACACAGGUGGGGUGGUAGAGAAUACCGAGGGGCGCGAGGUAACUCUCUCUAAGGAACUCGGCAAAAUGGCCCCGUAACUUCGGGAGAAGGGGUGCCACCGCAAGGUGGUCGCAGUGAAGAGGCCCAGGCGACUGUUUACCAAAAACACAGGUCUCCGCUAAGUCGCAAGACGAUGUAUGGGGGCUGACGCCUGCCCAGUGCCGGAAGGUUAAGGAAGCUGGUCAGCGUAAGCGAAGCUAGCGACUGAAGCCCCGGUGAACGGCGGCCGUAACAAUAACGGUCCUAAGGUAGCGAAAUCCCUUGUCGGGUAAGUUCCGACCCGCACGAAAGGCGUAACGAUCUGGGCGCUGUCUCGGAGAGAGGCUCGGCGAAAUAGAAUUGUCUGUGAAGAUGCGGACUACGUGCACCCGGACAGAAAGACCCUAUGAAGCUUUACUGUAGCUUGGUAUUGUGCUCGGGCUCGGAAUGCGCAGGAUAGGUGGGAGGCUAUGAACCAUUGCUUGUGGGUGAUGGUGAGCCACUGGUGAGAUACCACUCUUUCCGAGCUAGAGUUCUAACAGCCACCCGUUAUCCGGGGGCUGGACAGUAUCAGGUGGGCAGUUUGACUGGGGCGGUCGCCUCCUAAAAGGUAACGGAGGCGCGCAAAGGUUUGCUCAGGCUGGUUGGAAAUCAGCCGACGAGUGUAAAAGCAGAAGCAAGCUUGACUGUGAGACCUACAAGUCGAACAGGGAGGAAACUCGGCUUUAGUGAUCCGACGGUUCUGCGUGGAAGGGCCGUCGCUCAACGGAUAAAAGUUACUCUAGGAUAACAGGCUGAUCUCCCCCAAGAGUUCACAUCGACGGGGAGGUUUGGCACCUCGAUGUCGGCUCAUCGCAACCUGGGGCUGAAGUCGGUCCCAAGGGUUGGGCUGUUCGCCCAUUAAAGCGGUACGCGAGCUGGGUUCAGAACGUCGUGAGACAGUUCGGUCCAUAUCCGGUGCAUGCGCAGGAAUAUUGAGAGGAUUUCUCCCUAGUACGAGAGGACCGGGAGGAACGCACCUCUGGUGUACCAGUUAUCGUGCCAACGGUAAACGCUGGGUAGCCAUGUGCGGAGAGGAUAACCGCUGAAAGCAUCUAAGUGGGAAGCCCACCUCAAGAUGAGUAUUCCCAUGGGGUAACCCAGUAAGGUCACGGGAAGAACACCCGUUGAUAGGCUCUACGUGGAAGCGCAGUAAUGUGUGAAGCGGAGGAGUACUAAUAGACCGAGGGCUU
rnacentral:rRNA from 1 species